UUUUGUCUGUUAUUUUCUCAACCCUUUAACGUUUACGGAAUCAGUUCUUUUGACGUACUUUGUAAACACCACAAAAAAUACGAAAUAAAUCUAAGUUACCACUCUUUUUCUUUGUAGAAUGACUACAGGUUUUAAGAGACAAUUACAAUUGUUUAUUCUAAAAUGUUCAAUCAUCUAUCCUUUUCACAUCUAUUUUAUUUUAUUUCUCUUUGAACCAUGUUUUGGUACUAAUCCUUCGUACAAGACAAAUUGCGCGUCAACCGCGCAACUCAAAUUACGUAGUCCACGAGCAUGUCGCGUGAAGACGUCACUCAGAAUUUGUAUUUGUGUAUUUAAUUUCUAUUUUAUUACUUAACAUAAAUUUCUAAAUUACAGUGUAGUUACUUUUAUAGCACUAAGUAAUAAAUAAAUAUAAAAAAACAAUAAAUUGAGUACUUUUGUCAAGCCUUUUGUUUUUCUCUGCCGUCCAGCACACUUGCGCUGAUGGAAGCUUUACGAAGAGUAUAAACUGUAAUGGUCUAGUCAGAAAAGAGAAAGACUUUAUUUUAUUGUAUUUAACCAACG